GAGUUUGAUUCUGGCUCAGAGUGAACGCUGGCGGCGUGCCUAAUACAUGCAAGUCGAACGGUAACAGGAAGUAGCUUGCUACUUUGCUGACGAGUGGCGCACGGGUGAGUAAUGCAUAGGUUAUGUGCCCCAUAGUCUGGAAUAGCCACUGGAAACGGUGAUUAAUACCGGAUACUCCCGAGAGGGGAAAGUUUUUCGCUAUGGGAUCAGCCUAUGUCCUAUCAGCUUGUUGGUGAGGUAAUGGCUCACCAAGGCUAUGACGGGUAUCCGGCCUGAGAGGGUGAACGGACACACUGGAACUGAGACACGGUCCAGACUCCUACGGGAGGCAGCAGUAGGGAAUAUUGCUCAAUGGGCGAAAGCCUGAAGCAGCAACGCCGCGUGGAGGAUGAAGGUCUUCGGAUUGUAAACUCCUUUUCUAAGAGAAGAUUAUGACGNNUCUAG
rnacentral:rRNA from 1 species